rnacentral:misc_RNA from 1 species
GAGACAGUGAAGGGAUAUAAGUUUCUGACAUGAAAGUCAGGUUAAGAAAAAGAGUAGAAUUAAAGAAUAACUGAGUAAGAUAAAAGGAGUUGGUUAAGCACCAUAAUAGGACACGAUUAGGAAGAGUACAGUUAAGAUAUAGAGGAGGCAAAGUGCAGUUCUAGGAAAGGUAACAAGGUAAACAAAAUAGUAAGGAUUGGGAGCUUAGAAAAGGAUGAUAUUAAGGAGGACGUUUGUCACGGUAUAAGACCUAGAAGUGCAGAGUUCAGAGCAGGUCAGAGUUGAUACAGUGUUAGGAGCUAGAACAUGAAACUCAGAGUUGAAGGAUCUGGAAUAAAUUUU